rnacentral:rRNA from 1 species
CAGUAGCCGCGGUAAUACAGAGGGUGCGAGCGUUAAUCGGAUUUACUGGGCGUAAAGCGCACGCAGGCGGUCUGUCAAGUCAGAUGUGAAAUCCCCGGGCUUAACCUGGGAACUGCAUUUGAAACUGGCAGGCUAGAGUCUUGUAGAGGGGGGUAGAAUUCCAGGUGUAGCGGUGAAAUGCGUAGAGAUCUGGAGGAAUACCGGUGGCGAAGGCGGCCCCCUGGACAAAGACUGACGCUCAGGUGCGAAAGCGUGGGGAGCAAACAGGAUUAGAUACCCCAGUAGUCCCUGUCUCUUAUAA